rnacentral:antisense_RNA from 1 species
CCAACGACCAAAGCAAAGGACAGCAUAACUGAAUGACACAUUGCUCAGAAAAUAUCCAAAGCUCUGUACGCUCUGGAAAGGAAGGCAAGAAUUGCUAAAGACUCUGGAUAUUGCUCUGUUUCUAUAAGGUCCCACCCAUAUACCAUCUCUUCUUUUGGAUUUCCUUUGGCAGCUAUACUUGGCCCCAAGGUUCCAACCUCACAUUGAAGAAAGUGACAUAAGAAAACACAAGUCCCAGCGCUAUCAGGGGCUAUCUGGAAAAGCUGCUUAAACGGCAAGUGAAAGAAGGCUCUCCCCUACCCCGUUCUAGAUGACAGGUCCUAUGUAAGAUACACAUACCACAUGCUGUCAACCCAUCUGAGACACUCAGCUUUCAAAUGACAGCUCUUCUCUGAAGCUAACCUAGCCAAAAGAGUGAAGUACACUAUCCAUUAAGCUGUGUCAGUAGCUAAGUCUGUGUGUCUAAAUUAAAAACAUACUCACCCUGAAGUUAUUUGAAGGAUCCUUGAAACUCUUUUGGAUUGCUGCUUGGAGAACAUUCCUGUAACUUGUUCCUGCUCCUUGAACUAUAAAAGCAGAAGGGAAUUACUGAGUUAAAACUUAUAAAUUAUUAUCAAAUAAAUCUUCAACAGUGGUUCA